GGGAAUAUUGCACAAUGGGGGAAACCCUGAUGCAGCGACGCCGCGUGAGUGAAGAAGUAUUUCGGUAUGUAAAGCUCUAUCAGCAGGGAAGAAAAUGACGGUACCUGAUUAAGAAGCCCCGGCUAACUACGUGCCAGCAGCCGCGGUAAUACGUAGGGGGCAAGCGUUAUCCGGAUUUACUGGGUGUAAAGGGAGAGUAGGUGGCAGAGCAAGUCCGAAGUGAAAACCCAAAGCUCAACUAUGGGAAUGCUUUAGAAACUGCUCAGCUAGAGUGCAGGAGAGGCAAGUGGAAUUCUUAGUGUAGCGGUGAAAUGCGUAGAUAUUAGGAGGAACACCAGUGGCGAAGGCGGCUUGCUGGACUGUAACUGACACUGAGGCUCGAAAGCGUGGGGAGCAAACAG
rnacentral:rRNA from 1 species